rnacentral:rRNA from 1 species
UUAAGUUAUUAAGGGCGCACGGUGGAUGCCUUGGCACUAGAAGCCGAUGAAGGACGUUACUAACGACGAUAUGCUUUGGGGAGCUGUAAGUAAGCUUUGAUCCAGAGAUUUCCGAAUGGGGAAACCCAGCAUGAGUUAUGUCAUGUUAUCGAUAUGUGAAUACAUAGCAUAUCAGAAGGCACACCCGGAGAACUGAAACAUCUUAGUACCCGGAGGAAGAGAAAGAAAAUUCGAUUCCCUUAGUAGCGGCGAGCGAAACGGGAAGAGCCCAAACCAACAAGCUUGCUUGUUGGGGUUGUAGGACACUCUGUACGGAGUUACAAAGGACGACAUUAGACGAAUCAUCUGGAAAGAUGAAUCAAAGAAGGUAAUAAUCCUGUAGUCGAAAAUGUUGUCUCUCUUGAGUGGAUCCUGAGUACGACGGAGCACGUGAAAUUCCGUCGGAAUCUGGGAGGACCAUCUCCUAAGGCUAAAUACUCUCUAGUGACCGAUAGUGAACCAGUACCGUGAGGGAAAGGUGAAAAGCACCCCGGAAGGGGAGUGAAAUAGAACCUGAAACCGUGUGCUUACAAGUAGUCAGAGCCCGUUAAUGGGUGAUGGCGUGCCUUUUGUAGAAUGAACCGGCGAGUUACGAUUUGAUGCAAGGUUAAGCAGUAAAUGUGGAGCCGUAGCGAAAGCGAGUCUGAAUAGGGCGUUUAGUAUUUGGUCGUAGACCCGAAACCAGGUGAUCUACCCUUGGUCAGGUUGAAGUUCAGGUAACACUGAAUGGAGGACCGAACCGACUUACGUUGAAAAGUGAGCGGAUGAACUGAGGGUAGCGGAGAAAUUCCAAUCGAACCUGGAGAUAGCUGGUUCUCUCCGAAAUAGCUUUAGGGCUAGCCUCAAGUGAUGAUUAUUGGAGGUAGAGCACUGUUUGGACGAGGGGCCCCUCUCGGGUUACCGAAUUCAGACAAACUCCGAAUGCCAAUUAAUUUAACUUGGGAGUCAGAACAUGGGUGAUAAGGUCCGUGUUCGAAAGGGAAACAGCCCAGACCACCAGCUAAGGUCCCAAAAUAUAUGUUAAGUGGAAAAGGAUGUGGCGUUGCCCAGACAACUAGGAUGUUGGCUUAGAAGCAGCCAUCAUUUAAAGAGUGCGUAAUAGCUCACUAGUCGAGUGACACUGCGCCGAAAAUGUACCGGGGCUAAACAUAUUACCGAAGCUGUGGAUUGUCCUUUGGACAAUGGUAGGAGAGCGUUCUAAGGGCGUUGAAGCAUGAUCGUAAGGACAUGUGGAGCGCUUAGAAGUGAGAAUGCCGGUGUGAGUAGCGAAAGACGGGUGAGAAUCCCGUCCACCGAUUGACUAAGGUUUCCAGAGGAAGGCUCGUCCGCUCUGGGUUAGUCGGGUCCUAAGCUGAGGCCGACAGGCGUAGGCGAUGGAUAACAGGUUGAUAUUCCUGUACCACCUAUAAUCGUUUUAAUCGAUGGGGGGACGCAGUAGGAUAGGCGAAGCGUGCGAUUGGAUUGCACGUCUAAGCAGUAAGGCUGAGUAUUAGGCAAAUCCGGUACUCGUUAAGGCUGAGCUGUGAUGGGGAGAAGACAUUGAGUCUUCGAGUCGUUGAUUUCACACUGCCGAGAAAAGCCUCUAGAUAGAAAAUAGGUGCCCGUACCGCAAACCGACACAGGUAGUCAAGAUGAGAAUUCUAAGGUGAGCGAGCGAACUCUCGUUAAGGAACUCGGCAAAAUGACCCCGUAACUUCGGGAGAAGGGGUGCUCUUUAGGGUUAACGCCCAGAAGAGCCGCAGUGAAUAGGCCCAAGCGACUGUUUAUCAAAAACACAGGUCUCUGCUAAACCGUAAGGUGAUGUAUAGGGGCUGACGCCUGCCCGGUGCUGGAAGGUUAAGAGGAGUGGUUAGCUUCUGCGAAGCUACGAAUCGAAGCCCCAGUAAACGGCGGCCGUAACUAUAACGGUCCUAAGGUAGCGAAAUUCCUUGUCGGGUAAGUUCCGACCCGCACGAAAGGCGUAACGAUUUGGGCACUGUCUCAACGAGAGACUCGGUGAAAUCAUAGUACCUGUGAAGAUGCAGGUUACCCGCGACAGGACGGAAAGACCCCGUGGAGCUUUACUGUAGCCUGAUAUUGAAAUUCGGCACAGCUUGUACAGGAUAGGUAGGAGCCUUUGAAACGUGAGCGCUAGCUUACGUGGAGGCGCUGGUGGGAUACUACCCUAGCUGUGUUGGCUUUCUAACCCGCACCACUUAUCGUGGUGGGAGACAGUGUCAAGCGGGCAGUUUGACUGGGGCGGUCGCCUCCUAAAAGGUAACGGAGGCGCUCAAAGGUUCCCUCAGAAUGGUUGGAAAUCAUUCAUAGAGUGUAAAGGCAUAAGGGAGCUUGACUGCGAGACCUACAAGUCGAGCAGGGUCGAAAGACGGACUUAGUGAUCCGGUGGUUCCGCAUGGAAGGGCCAUCGCUCAACGGAUAAAAGCUACCCCGGGGAUAACAGGCUUAUCUCCCCCAAGAGUUCACAUCGACGGGGAGGUUUGGCACCUCGAUGUCGGCUCAUCGCAUCCUGGGGCUGUAGUCGGUCCCAAGGGUUGGGCUGUUCGCCCAUUAAAGCGGUACGCGAGCUGGGUUCAGAACGUCGUGAGACAGUUCGGUCCCUAUCCGUCGUGGGCGUAGGAAAUUUGAGAGGAGCUGUCCUUAGUACGAGAGGACCGGGAUGGACAUACCUCUGGUGUACCAGUUGUCGUGCCAACGGCAUAGCUGGGUAGCUAUGUGUGGACGGGAUAAGUGCUGAAAGCAUCUAAGCAUGAAGCCCCCCUCAAGAUGAGAUUUCCCAACUUCGGUUAUAAGAUCCCUCAAAGAUGAUGAGGUUAAUAGGUUCGAGGUGGAAGCAUGGUGACAUGUGGA